rnacentral:rRNA from 1 species
AUUCCUACGGGAGGCAGCAGUAACGAAUAUUCCACAAUGGGCGCAAGCCUGAUGGAGCAAUGCCGCGUGCAGGAUGAAGCCCCUCGGGGUGUAAACUGCUGUCAGGGUUUAAGAAAUCAAUGACUAGACCCAAAGGAAGAGGCGGCUAACUCUGUGCCAGCAGCCGCGGUAAUACAGAGGCCUCGAGCGUUGCGCGAAAUCACUGGGCUUAAAGGGUGCGUAGGCGGACAUACAAGUGCCUUGUGAAAUCCCAGGGCUCAACCCUGGAACUGCUUGGUAGACUGUGUGUCUUGAGGUCGGUAGGGGUCGCUGGAACAGUUGGUGGAGCGGUGAAAUGCGUAGAUAUCAACUGGAACGCCCAAGGCGAAGGCAAGCGACUGGGCCGAUUCUGACGCUGAGGCACGAAAGCGUGGGGAGCAAACGGGAUUAGAUACCCCGGUAGUCCACGCCCUAAACGAUGUACACUAGAUCGUGGAGGCUCUGACGCCGUCAUGGUCGAAGCAAAAGUAUUUAGUGUACCGCCUGGGGAGUACGGUCGCAAGAUUAAAACUCAAAGAAAUUGACGGGGGCUCACACAAGCGGUGGAGCAUGUGGCUUAAUUCGAAGCAACGCGAAGAACCUUAUCCAAGGCUUGACAUGCACGGAUUAGUUUGCUGAAAGGUAAAUGACGCUCGCAAGAGUGGAACGUGCACAGAUGCUGCAUGGCUGUCGUCAGCUCGUGCUGUGAAGUGUCGCGUUAAGUCGCUUAACGAGCGAAACCCCUAUCGCUAGUUGCCAGCGGGUAAUGCCGGGGACUCUAGAGAGACUGCCGGUGUCAAACCGGAGGAAGGUGGGGAUGACGUCAAGUCCUCAUGGCCUUUAUGCCUUGGGCUGCACACGUGCUACAAUGCGGCCGACAAUGCGACGCAAGACCGUAAGGUGGAGCAAAUCGCAAAAAAGGCCGCCCAGUUCAGAUUGAGGUCUGCAACCCGACCUCAUGAAGUUGGAAUCGCUAGUAAUCGGGGAUCAGCUACGCCCCGGUGAAUAUGUUCCUGGGCCUUGUACACACCGCC